rnacentral:lncRNA from 1 species
GAUAUCAAAUGUUUAUUUCUUGUUUCUAUAAAGUCCACAAUGGAAGCUCUCAGUAGACAGGUAGCGGCCCUCCAGGUUGUGAUGCAGGGAUCCAGGCUCCUGCCAUGUUAGUUCUGCUGACGUCCCCAUCACUCAGCUUUCAAGGUAUCUCUAUGCUCAUGGUGUCAGGUCACCAAGGGGAAGGGCAUGGAUAAAUCCACCUGGGAGUGUUUACGGGCUGGCCCUGGGCACAAUGGUCUUCUGCUCACAAUCCAUUCAUUGGCGAGAAUGCAAUCACAUGGCCUGUAUCCAGCAGCAGGGAAAGCUAAAAAAUUCCUUGUGCCCAAUGCAUUUCUUAUGUGCAAGUCCAGGAUUAAGCUGGCAGUCCUCUACCCACUGAUGUCCUUAGCAGCAGAUCAGAUGCUUCCUCUCAGCCCUGGACUGGUUAACUAAGAGCCAUUUGGGAUUGGGAAUACAAGGCCACUCUGGGAGUAAGGAGUGAACUCAUAUCAAUCCAUUUCAAUUCAAUGCAAUGUAAUCAAUCAAUUCAUCAACAAACACCCAGCAUGCGGGUUUCUGGGCUAGGGAUUGAAUCCGCCCCACAGCUGUAACCAGAGCCACAACAGUGGCAAUGUGGGAUCCUUAACUCACUGGGCCACCAGAAAACUCCAAAUAAAUAUUUACUGAUGCUUUUAGGAUAGAGAGAAACGCUUGGUUCUAGGGCUCUGCGGAAGAUAUAAAUUGAUAUAACCUGAAAUAGAACCCAGUCAUACCCUCAAAGAGCUGCAUGCCACUAAAGGAUCCUCAAAGCUUAUCUGUAUCUCUUAGAUUUUUUCAAAGGCUGAGGAAAACCCCAUGGGUACAAAGAAAUCUGCCCUGAAUGUUAAGCUACAGAAUAGUCCCUGCUCGCUCAGAUUCCGAAAGUCCCAUGGGUCUAUGUCCAUGCCUGCCUGCAUGUAUCCAUUUGUUCGAUUAGUUCAUUCAUGAACGUUUAUUGAGAUCUGCUCUUCUUGACAGUGUGUAGGCCCUGAGGGCUGGGAGUUGAGGAUUUUAAGUUGAAUAAGACUGAGACCAAGCCUUCUAGAAACUCACAAUGCAAGGGGUGGUCAGAAGACACGGAACUCAGUCAGAUACAAGGCCAUGGCGGGCAACACCAUGAUGAGUUUUAAACAGUGCCAGCCUGGGGAGGAAGGAGACAUUCAUUAUGAUGGGAGGGUGGCGUGGAGAAGAUUACCUCAAGGGUCCAACAGGGAGGAGUUCCUGUCAUGGCACAGUGGAAACGAAUCCGACCAGUAUCCAUGAGGACGCGGGUUCGAUCCUUGGCCUCGCUCAGUGGGUCAGGGAUCCAGUGUUGCCGUGAGCUGUGGUGUAGGUCGCAGACAUGGCUCGGAUCCCAUGUGGCUGUGGCUGUGGCGUAGGUCGGUGGCUGUGGCUGUGGCGUAGUUCGGCAGCUGUAGCUCGGAUUCAACCCCUAGCCUGGGAACCUCCAUAUGCCACAGGUGCAGCCCUAACAAGCUAAAAAAAAAAAAAAAAAAAAAAGAAAUCCAUCAAACAAUAACCUUCUUCCCAGGCCCCUGUGUAAUUGAAGUUUUAUUGUAAUUCAAAACUCCCUCCUCAACUUUUGCCCGAGAUGGCAAAGAGGGGGAAGAAUGCAGAGAUCCAGGCCUCUAAGUCUACUUACCUAGUGGCCUGACUCAGUGGAGGGCUGCUGGGUCCUUAGCUUGGCUGGCUGCUGCGGAGACCUUGGCUUCUGUGGAGUAAGACGAGAAGGGAAAUUAAAAGCCUUUAUUUUCUUUUUUCCAUCUCACUAGAGGCUGUUUAAUCUAGAAGUUAAGAUCAUGAGCUUUGCGAUCGGGAGGGUCCGAUUUAAAAUCUCAGCUCUAUUUAAUAGCUCUACAGUCUUGGGUAAGGCACUGAAUCUCUCUGAGCUCCAUGUUUCCCACCCAAAGAAAUGGAGGAAAGAGGGAGUUCCUCUGUGGCUCAGUGGGUUAAGGAUCUGGUGUUGUCACUGCUGUGGCUGGGGUCACUGCUGUGGCUUGGAUUUGAUCCCUGGCCUGGGAACUUCCACAUGCCAUGGGUGUGGCCAAAAAGGAAAAAGAAAGAAAUGGGGGAAAAUUAGGAAUGCCUUUAUUAUGAGAGUUGUUAUGAGGAUUACAUAAAACAAUAUGGGUGAUGUGUCAAGAUUCAUAGUCAGCACUCAGAGUGAGGCAUUAUUCCCACUGCCUCCUUCCUGUAAGAUCACUUAGCCCUGGCACGCCUCCUCUUCCACACACGGAGCUCUGAAGGCUUGUGACCAGUGUGCUCGGGGGUGGGGGCCAGCACCUGAGUAAAGGAGAGGGGGAAUGAGAGAUUUAGCAGUGGAAUCCCACCCAAAUCAUCUAUCCUCUGCCUGUAGCAUGACCUCCCCGUAAGGCUGAAGUCUCUCCAAUGUUUUUCGGAUCUGUCAAAACUGUUGUCCCAGCUUACUUCUCAUACCAUACCCUUUAAGGAAAGAAGGGAAAACAAAAGAAAACACCUACUACAAAUACAUGAACGAGAGAGGGGGGGGGGAGGGAGAGAGAGAGAGAGAGAAGGAGAGAAGAGGGAGGAGAAAGGGAGGGACACGGAGUUUUCUGUUGUAAUUUUCCAUCCUGCUUGUUUUUAGGUGCUGCCAUAUGAAAUGUCUGAACUGGGGAUUCUCAUCAGCCUUCCGGAGACCCAAGGACAGAGCUCUGGCUAUAAAUGGUGCCAGUUUUGGUGGGGGAGCUGCUGCCGCUUUAUCUGGGCCCAGUAAACCUUAUCAAACUGCUGUGCAGCCAGCCUUCAGCGCUAAGUGGAAAUGCUCGGAGCCCAACGCUGGCACUCAGCCCACAGCCUUGCCUGCCUUCCUCCUUUUUUUGUUACCUUCUCCACCUCUUAAAUUCGGGCAUUAAUCUCUCUUUAACACUUACUAACAAGGGCUGGGCUAUUUAAUGGGCCGAGUUUAUGAAGCAAGGGAGAUUUUCACAUAGCUUGAAUAUGGCAUGGAGGUGGAGGGGCAUGAAGGGAUUGCUCUUCCUCUCCCAUUGUUUCCAGAGAGUCGCUCUUUCUCUGAUUUGAGGAUUAAUAGGAGAUUAGAUCAGGGGUUAAUUGCACACUUCUCCUACUACUGCCCUCGGGAGGGGCUGGUAGGUGGAUGUGGACAGAGAGGCAGCAACCUUUAGCAGGUACCAUCUAGGCAGAAGCUCAACAGUUUAAUGAUUCUUUCUGCUCUUUCCCUGGGGAGGUGUUAGGCCCAUUUUCUUACUUCCCUCCUCUCUUGCCCUCCUUGCAGAGCAGUUCAUUCCCUCUUUUUAAAAAUUGAAGUGUAGUUGAUUUACAAUAUUGUGCUAGUUUUCAAGGGUACAGCAGAGUGAUCCAUUUACACACACACACACACACACACAUUUUUAGAUUCUUUUCCAUCAUAGGUUAUUACAAGGUAUUGAAUAUAGUUCUCUGUGCUAUACAGUAAAUCCUUGUUGUUCAUCAAACCACUUCUUUCUUAACUUUCUUCAAAUCCCUUUCCUCUUACAGACUGCAAAGACCUUAGCUAGGAAAGCAGUCAUAUCCUAGAUGGCUCUUUAUUGUUAAUCAAACAGAACACCCAGGGACCUGGCUUUCCCAGGCAUCUGUUGGAUGUUGCUGUAUUCACUGCUCUCACAGGAUAACUGACUCCCUUCCUUUACUCACCGUGUGCUUCUCCCUCAGCUUUGCUUCUCUCCUCUGACUCCUGCAGGUCUGAGCACUUUUCUUGUGAACAGAGAGGGCUGCUGGCUGGGAUGGAAUUGCCUAUCCUUGGGACUACCCCAUUAGCAGCUCUUGAACCCAGAUCAGUUCUGAUGUAAACCUCCCCCAAGGGGCCUUAUGGGGCCAGAGCAGAUUUUUGCUUCUAUUGGCUUCUGCCACCCUUCCUGACUCUUUAAUUCCUGGGGCCCGACUCUCCGUUAGGGACAGUGUCUGAGAUGUGCCUGGGGAUGUGAUAAAGGCACUGAACGUGGGGACCCAGUGACUGAAGCCCCUCGUUGCUAAGGCUGAAUGACCUCCAGGGCUGACUCUCCGGAGACCCAGGGAGGGCGCUCUCCGCCAUCACCCUCACCCCAACGCUCCUGGACGUUAGCCCACUGCGCCUCUCGAGCCCUAUCUUCAACAAGCUCUAGGGAAAAGGGCGGAGAAGGGGACUCUGCGCAUCCGGAGAUUUCUUCUGGUGGCUCUACCCGGGGGCUACCGACCUCAACCCCAUCCUCUAAAGUGGAGGAGCCAGAUGAGAGGAACCACUUGCGGUUCUGAAUCGUCUUCGGGCUUUUACUCGCCCCCUGAAGACUUUGCCCUGAAGGGGGUGCAGUUCUCAGGAAAUGUUUUCAACUAGGUUCCCUGGAGGGCAAAGGCUAGGGGAUGGCCAAGACUGGGAGGGAGAAAAGUUUCUCUCAGACCUCGACCUUGGCCUCCAGGGGUCGCGACAGCCAAAAUGGGGCACCGCCCCUCGACGAUAGAGCCCGCGGACCCUCUAGCAUCUGGUUUACCCGGGCCGCGAACUCUGCGCCUGGAGGCUACUGGCAGUCUGGGUGCUCAGAAGACCCGGAGGCACAAAAGGCCUGGGCUUAGGCCGGUAAAGCGCCCUUCAAAAACCGAUGUCGAGGUACAGGCAGUGCCACCCCGAGUACGUUUAGAAAAAGUGCAAGGCGAGAUGACACGCACUGAAUAGGGGCAAAUACUGGAGCCAGGGACAAAACUCCAAGCUUGGAGCAGCUGGGGAAAACAAAACCUGUGUCCAGUGGAAAUUAAAAACCUGGGGGGGUGGUUGCUCCUCGCCCCUCACCUCCAUUGCCCACUCUAAGGCUUCCGAGUCCCUGACCCUCCUCUCCGCCAGCUCCGUUCCUCUCCGCUUGGCCAGUGAGCGGCGGC